CAGAUAUUAUUGAAGACCUAUACAGUCCUAGGACCGCAGCAAUGGACUUUGUGAGCGAACUGGUAAGAAAACAUGGAAAAGAGAAGCUUCAAAAGUUCAUAUUAUUUAUUGUGGAGAUUUUUAAAAGUUUGUGCACAAGAAUUGGCUUAAGCUCCUUGAACCGAGUUUCAGCAAGAUCAAAACCAUCCUUCCGGUGUUCCUGCAAUAAAAAAAACAAGUCAAAGAAGAUUUACUGAAAAGAAAAAAAGUAUUAAUGGUGUAAUUAAUGGCUAUUCACUACAGAGCGGGAGCGGAUGACAAGCCUUUGUGGAUGGUGAAAACGGUUCUUCAUGAGCUUGUAAAGCUUCGUGGGACAGUAAUAAAUGGUCAUCUUUCCAUGGUCCCAAUUGACAUGGAACCCCAACCCAUAAUCCUUGC